UGGCGACCAUAGCGUUGUGGACCCACCUGAUUCCAUGCCGAACUCAGAAGUGAAACGCAAUAGCGCCGAUGGUAGUGUGGGGCUUCCCCAUGUGAGAGUAGGACAUCGCCAGGCU
rnacentral:rRNA from 5 species